rnacentral:lncRNA from 1 species
UUUCUUGAAUUUUUGGGAUUCCAAUUGAAACUACAUUCACUUUUUGCUUCGGAUUUUUGUCUUUGAGGUGCAUGUUAGAUGUUCUCAAUAUUAGACACUUUCCUUGAAGUUGGAUUUUUGAAGAUACCCUUGUUUGCCCCUCAAUGUAAAAAAAUGAUCCUUGGUCGGGUUCAUUUUGGAAAUAAUAAAUUCAAUAGGCUCAAAUGAGUAGCAAAUGGAUAAUUUUUUUAUAAGCGAAGGAUAGAAAAAGAUGGUCAUUCAUCGUUUCAAAUAUGAU